GAUGAAGAACGUAGCGAAAUGCGAAAAGUAAUGUGAAUUGCAGAAUUCAGUGAAUCAUCGAAUCUUUGAACGCACAUUGCGCCCGCCAGUAUUCUGGCGGGCAUGCCUGUUCGAGCGUCAUUUCAACCAUCAAGCCCCAGGCUUGUGUUGGGGACCUGCGGCUGCCGCAGGCCCUGAAAACCAGUGGCGGGCUCGCUGUCACACCGGGCGUAGUAGAUUUUAUCUCGCUCAGGGCGUGCUGCGGGUUCCGGCCGUUAAAAAGCCUUUUUUACCCAAGGUUGACCUCGGAUCAGGUAGGAAGACCCGCUGAAUUUAAGCAUAUCAAUAAGCGGAGGA
rnacentral:misc_RNA from 1 species